AGCAUAUCAAUAAGCGGAGGAAAAGAAAAUAACAAUGAUUCCNUCAGUAACGGCGAGCGAAGAGGGAUAAGCUCAAAUUUUAAAUCUGUUGGGUUCCACUUAACAGAGUUGUAUUUUGAAGAAACGUUUUCUGCAUCCAGGAUUAGCCUAAAUCCUUUGGGAUAAGGUAUCAUGGAGGGUGAGAAUCCCGUUCAUGGUUAAUCUUAAGGAAGCUCUACGAUACGUUUUCCAAGAGUCGAGUUGUUUGGGAUUGCAGCUCAAAAUGGGAGGUAAAUUUCUCCUAAGGCUAAAUAUUGGCGAGAGACCGAUAGCGAACAAGUACCGUGAGGGAAAGAUGAAAAGAACUUUGAAAAGAGAGUUAAACAGUACGUGAAAUUGUUGAAAGGGAAACGAUUGAAGUCAGUCAUACCAACGGGAAAUCAACCUUUUGAGCUUGGUCUCGUGGGUUUUGAAGAGUUUCAAAGCCUUCGGAUUCGCGGGAUUGGGAUCUCUUGGUGUACUUUUUCGUACGGUUAGUCAACAUCGGUUUUGAAUGUCAUAAAAUGACUGGAGGAAUGUAGCUUCGAUCUCGUAUUGAAGUGUUAUAGCCUUUGGUAGAUGUGAUGUUUGAGACCGAGGAUUGCAACGGAUACCCUUUAGGGCUAUUCGUCUGAUCUCUGAUACGUUGCCUUGAUGUUGAAAGCUUGCUUAUGAUGUUAGGGUAUUACGGUCAAAAGGUUAGAACGGAUUAGAUUCGUUAAGGAUGUUGACGUAAUGACUUUAAACGACCCGUCU
rnacentral:rRNA from 1 species